rnacentral:rRNA from 1 species
CGAGCGAGCUCUUCUGACCUAGCUGCCGCACGGGUGCGUAACGCGUGGGAAUCUGCCCUCUGGUUCGGAAUAACUCGGGGAAACUUGACCUAAUACCGGAUAAUGACUUCCGUCCAUACAUUUAUUGCCUGAGGAUGACCCCGCGUCCGAUUACCUAUUUGGUGGGGUAAAGGCCUACCAAGGCGACGAUCCGUAACUGGUCUGAGAGGAUGAUCACCCACACUGGGACUGAAACACGGCCCAGACUCCUACGGGAGGCACCAGUGGGGAAUAUUGGACAAUGGGCGAAAGCCUGAUCCAGCAAUGCCGCGUGAAUGAUGAAGGCCUUAGGGUUGUAAGGCUCUUUUACCCGGUAUGAUUAUGACAGUACCGGGAGAAUAAGCCCCGGCUAACUCCGUGCCAGCUUCCGCGGUAAUACUGAGGGGGCUAGCGUUGUUCGGAAUUACUGGUCGUAAAGCGCGCGUAAGCGGCUUUGUAAGUUAGAGGUGAAAGCCCGGAGCUCAGCUUCGGAAUAGCCUUUAACACUGCAUCUCUAGAAUCGUGGAGAGGUGAGUGGAAUUCCAAGUGUAGAGGUGAAAUUCUGAGAUAUUCGGAAGAACACCAGUGGCAAAUGCGACUCACUGGACACAUAUUGACGCUGAGGUGCGAAAGCGUGAGGAGCAAACAGGAUUACAUACCCUGGUAGUCCACUCCGUAGACGAUGAUGACUAGCUGUCGGGGCUCAUAUAGCCUCGGUGG